rnacentral:rRNA from 1 species
CAGCAGCCGCGGUAAAACGGAGGGUGCAAGCGUUAUCCGGAUUCACUGGGUUUAAAGGGUGCGUAGGCGGGCAGGUAAGUCAGUGGUGAAAUCUUCGAGCUUAACUCGGAAACUGCCGUUGAUACUAUCUGUCUUGAAUAACGUUGAGGUGAGCGGAAUAUGUCAUGUAGCGGUGAAAUGCUUAGAUAUGACAUAGAACACCGAUUGCGAAGGCAGCUCACUAAACGCUCAUUGACGCUGAGGCACGAAAGCGUGGGGAUCAAACAGGAUUAGAUACCCGCGUAGUCCCUGUCUCUUAUAC